UACGAAGGGGGCUAGCGUUGCUCGGAAUCACUGGGCGUAAAGGGUGCGUAGGCGGGUCUUUAAGUCAGGGGUGAAAUCCUGGAGCUCAACUCCAGAACUGCCUUUGAUACUGAAGAUCUUGAGUUCGGGAGAGGUGAGUGGAACUGCGAGUGUAGAGGUGAAAUUCGUAGAUAUUCGGAAGAACACCAGUGGCGAAGGCGACACACUGGCCCAAUACUGACGCUGAGGCUCGAAAGCGUGGGGAGCAAACAGG
rnacentral:rRNA from 1 species